GUGCCAGCAGCCGCGGUAAUACGUAGGGUGCGAGCGUUAAUCGGAAUUACUGGGCGUAAAGCGUGUGUAGGCGGCUACGUAAGUCGGAUGUGAAAGCCCCAGGCUCAACCUGGGAAGUGCACUCGAUACUGCGUAGCUUGAGUAUCGGAGAGGUUGGUGGAAUUCUCGGUGUAGAGGUGAAAUUCGUAGAUAUCGAGAGGAACACCGGUGGCGAAGGCGGCCAACUGGACGAAUACUGACGCUGAGACACGAAAGCGUGGGGAGCAAACAGGAUUAGAUACCCCGGUAGUCC
rnacentral:rRNA from 1 species